UCUAAAGUGAAAAUUACGUCCAUGGCUGCACCAACACACACUGCGCUUCUCUAAUAGUCUGCUCUCCUCUAAUCCUUCCUACUUCAGCGCUGUAGUGUCCUCCGCUGCAGACGUGUCCUUAUAACCGCUGCUACACACACACACUGCUGUCCUCCUCUGCUGCGGAGCGGGAGACAGCAGCUUAGUGCUUCAUGUGGGCUAAACAGCAACCAGGAUGAAAAGUAAUCGCACAUGCGGAAACCCCCCGGUGUUUGAUCCAACUCCCCAAUAGGAGGCGGUAGGUGUGAGUUUCAGCUGCCAAUCAGUCCAUAGUGUCUGCUCGGCACCAGCCGGACCUCCGAGGGAAGUAGUCUGAAAAAAAAGUCUCCUUAGAACGAAAUACACACAUGUGAGCCAUAUGUGAACAAAACAUUUGGUUCCGAACGCAUCCAUGCCGACCCAGAUGUGAAAGCGGCUUAAGUGAGGGAAAAUACUAACAUGGGACGACUGUGGGAAUAAGGAGUAAAAUAGUUUAGUUUUGAAAAUAGUUUCCAGCUCAAAACAGGAGACUUCACAGGUGUGAUCCUGGAAUUGUGGAUGAAGUCUGUCAGUGAAGCUCUUGGGAUCACAGCUCCACUUCUCAGUUCAGACUCCACAGAGCUCCUAGUGUGUGAGUUCUUGUUCUCUUCUGUACUUUUAACGUUAACACAGGAGAGUGUUUGCUGUUGUAUUUCAGUUAUAAUGUGUACAACCACACAAAACAUUAAAUUUACUCAAAAAAUCUGAAUGGAUAUUUAAGAUCUGCAGUGUGAACGUAGCCUUAAGCCUGAUUCAUGCGUCUCCGUCUGCGUCAGUGCGGAGACACGCAACGUCCUUGCGUGCCUGCCGGAGAGCUCCGCAAGGACGGACGGAGUCGAGCUCUCUUUUCUAAACAGCCGUCAGUCGAGACGGACAACGCAAGCUUGUGAUUGGUCAGGACGCCGCUGUUGUUUACAGCGCCGUCAUUGCACCCUCAAAAACAUAAAGAGAGCCGAGGAUAACAAGCGGCAGACACGGAGCAGCUUGAAGAAUACCUCGCGAAAAAACUCUAAAAACAUGAACUUUUAGUUCCCCCGUGACUGGAGAAGUGAAAAGAUAUGCAGCAAGCGUUUUAUUUGUGGACGGAAAUGACAGGAAACGUGGGUUUAGAGGUGGCGAGCGCAUGAAGAGGUGGAGGAGAAUGAGAGACAAAUAUGUCCAUGUUAAAAGUCUCUUAUAUACACAAAAAAUACAAUAUAAACACACUAUCUUGGACCAAUACAUGACAGGAUACUGCAGAACAGCGCUACGCCCUCUGUUGUCCUGCCGAGGAAUUGCUUUGCAACACUCUCCAGGAGACGGAGAAGUAUGAGAGCAAAACACUUCCGUCAAUCCGUGCGUGUCUGUCCCUUGCGGAGCUGACGGAGAAGCAUGAACCAGGCUUUAGACAGCAUGUUUCUUUGUACAUAAGCCGUACCAUAGACAUCAUUGGCUGCUGGAGAGUAACUGCUUCACCGCCAUAUUGAGUUGGUUUCUAACUCCAAAACCCAAUUUGAAUCCAGUCAUUGGAGCAACUAUGCCUGUUUUUGUGCAGCUCACAGUUCCAACAACCAGCAGUUACAUCUGCCUGUAAGCUUUGUUUGUUAAUAAAGUUAUAUAAAAAUAAAAAAACUGUUACGUCACGAUCUCCUUGCUCACUACAGGAAGUUUAAAAAAUAAUUUCAAUAAAGAUUGAAACACAAACAUGAAGCUAAAUGAGGAGCUCUAUGAACAUACUGAACGCCGCUUUAAAAGAUACUGAAUGUGAAAUAUGGCAUUUCUCUACUGCUGACUGAUGAAAGGGAGUCCGAUGUGCUUGUUGUCAUUUUGCAGGAGGUUGAACGAUCUGACAAGGUAGUUAGCCCGUAAAAAAAUUGUGCUGCAACACUCCCAGUGCUUUUUUUGUGGCCUUUACGGCUAUUCAUUGGUAGGCUCAUCACGGAACACAAAAAUGUAGCUUGUUUGUUAUGAUUUAGGUACGUACUGCCCCCUAGUGGCAGAAAACUACAGACUGUCGCUUAAAGAAAUAGCAUAAAAUGGCCAGGGAUGCACUUCAGUAUAUAUUCUCUUCUACGGUUUUAAAAUUUUGAAAUAAUUAUCUAUCGAUCGAUUAGAUUUUUUAAAAUUAAUAUGCUUUUAUUCAUCAACCAGCCCUAAAACCUACUAAAGGUUAAACAUUUUAAAUUGCAAACUGUACUUAAUUACGGUGAUGCAAGUAAAUGACAAUUACACCCCUGCAAAAUAGUAAAAGUUCUAAAUCAAAACCAUUUUGAAUUUUUGUUAUUCUUGUCCCUGCUAUUUGUAAGUUUUUUUUUAUCUAAUUUUGGCAUAUAGUAAUCCUGCACAACAAUGUGAUAAUUUGGUUUCUAUUAAAAUUUAGGAAAUUUUGCUUAUUUGUUGACAAAUUGCAGCUCAAUAUAGAAACAUCAUCAUUGUUCUCUUGUUGUAAUGUCAGGAUUUCCAAGAGCCAGACAUCGACUGGGAUGUUGCAGCAGAGUACAGCCCAGAUGUGGACGGUGCUGUUGUGGUCCCGUAGUUCGACAGUCCCCUCACUGAAGAGCAGCAUGCUGACCUGCAGUUGCUACUGGCACAAAAUUGGGAGCGUUCAAACACUAAGGAACUUUAUCUAUUGUGCAGAGAAUAUGUUAAUGCUGCUUUGUCAGAUUAAUGUGUGCUUGAAAUAAAAAAUCAAGAGAUCAGUUCCAGUGCUUUUUUAAUGUUACAAAAGAAAUACAUAACAUGUAUUUGAAAUGGCAAUAAGCCUAACUUUAUGGAUUCAUGUAACAAUGUCGCUUUCUAGCUCCAAAACAUUACAUUAUUUAACAAAACCAUUUGUCUUUUUGGAUUCAAAGUUAAAUAUGAAUCAUUAUACAGUAACCUGAACCCAGAACAGUGGCCAUCUUGUUUUCACUUAAUGUCUGCUAAAAUCAAAUCUAUCACAGACUGCCUGAGUAAGCUGACUUUCAAAGUCAGUGUAUGUAGUAACGUGCCGUGUAGGUAAGGUGAUUAAGUGUGGUCCAUACCGGGUGGUACUGUCGUGAUCAACAUUUACAGUUAUCUUGUAAAAUUCUCUUUCUGUGUCUGUUAGUGGCGCAUGUGCCUGGCCUGAAACCCACUGAAAAAAAUCCUUGCACUGACAACUGCUUUGCUCCACAGCCAUCUGAUGGGCUCCCAUCUUGGUCAUCUGUUCCUGAAGGGUGAAAAAAAAAAUCAGUGUGUCACUAACAUGAUUGAGGUUCCCAGGAAGAAAGAGGGGCUGAAGUGCCUGGUGGUGUUGUGGCAACAGCUCAUCCAAACCCUAGAUGGCCAGUCCUUCUCUAAGCUGACUUAGCAUCGGUAUGAGUCUCAUCACCGAAUGCAAACUGAUGGCCCUAGUAAAAAGAAUAAUGAACUUAGAAUAACUCAAUUUUCAAAAAUUGCAUGACUUGUUUAAUGCUACAUUAACAUAGCCUACUCAAUGAUGGCCCUUUUGCAAUUGCUGUGAAUUGACCAAUGGCAUCAGAAAGGUCUGUCAUUGCGUCUUCUUCGGCACGUUCGACCUUCAAUCAGAAACACUUGUUAGUACAAUUUACAGAAAAUAAAUUAUUCUGUUUAAUUUACCUCCUGAAUCAGGUUCUGGGUUUCCGUAUCAGUCACCUCUGGCACAUCUUCAUUUGUUAUUUGUCCAUGACGCAAGAAAUGGUAAGACCAAGUAGAAAAGAAAUUCGGUGCUGGUCCUGCUUGAACCAAGCUGGUGGCAAUGAUCUCCCCACAGAUCCUGAACACAAAACAAGCCAAGUUACACUGCAGAGCAGCAUCAUACUGUACAUACCUGUAUCUGUUUUCCUGGUAGUAAGAGAUACUAUAUUUGGGGUUUUGCCUUUGCAUGAAACUCCUUCAAAUAAGUUCAACUCAAGGCCUCGCAUCAUUUCUAUUGGGAAAAAAGAAAUGACAGUUUGCCAUUUUCAACUAUAUUCAAAGUUGGUAUGUUGACAUUAGCAAGGACUACAUACCGGUUAGGAACUCUCUGCAUAGUGCUCCUUCAUCAAUGCCGUGUUCUCCAAUAAAGGAAACACUUAGCUGGUUUUUGAGGGAAGCCUGCUUCUGUCUGGCCCACUGUUUCAGACCUCUCUGGUAAAGGUCGUCCCUUGUCACAUUAAUGUUUAAGGUUUUAGUGUUGUCAACUCUUUCUUGUAGGAACUUCAGGAUGUCUGAUAAGCUAUUGACAACAACAUUGUGUUUAUUAUUAUUUAUUUUAAAACCUACACAUUAACACAAAUGUUUGUAAAAAUUCUAACCAGCUUAAGUGCUUGGAAGAGUCAUCCACAUCCAGUAUGAUGCUGUUCAGAUGUGGAAACAAACAAAAAAAAAAGAUUAAACUCUCAUAGCAUAUUGUGUACAACGUGCAUGGGUAAAAACAUGCACCUGUCCUCUUCCUCCUUCACCACAAAAGCUGGCAUGCAAUUGUAUAGACUCCUGAGUAAAUUCUUAUCACACAAUGGACAGGAAACCUAUUAAAGACAUUUUUUUAAAUCAGUGACCAACAAUCAUUGUUAAGUAAACAAUAAUGAUUAACAUGAAAUGUAAUUAAAAUAUUCUGUAAAUUGCUUACGUGCAUGUUUGAAGUUUAAUUUAAAGGGAUAUUCAACCCUAAGUGAAAAUUUGUCUACUGUCUAAAUUGGCUCCUGCAAAUGUGUUACUUCUUACUUUUCAUUUGCAGUCAACAUGAUUAUUGAGCUCAACAGGAAUAACUGGUAUCAUAAUUUAGUAAUUUUACAGUUUUGCACACAAAAUGCUACUACCUCCCAUUAAGUUACAUGGUUUAUUCUAAUCUAAAGCAGACAGACUGCUGGCAGAUAAGAAUUACUGCGCUGGUUAAAACAAUCCUUUUUCAUUCACUUAUCCAACUCUGGGGAAUACGGCACUAGAAAACAUUUUUGGAUAUUUCCCUGACACACAUAUCUAGCCCCUCAUAACUCGACCCCCAGUUUCUGGAUGAAACACCGGACAUUUUAUUCCAUGUAGGACCCUAAUCCACCUAGCUGUGCCCCUGUUGCAAUAUUAAAUGCGAGGAGUCGUAAAAAGUAGCAUAACAAAACAAUUUUAUGGAAUAAACUGCAGCUAGUAGCCUUAAAAAAUAACUUACUUGAGCGUCUUGUUGGUUCUGGUCCAUUUUGCUGGUGCAGGUGAAACUAUCGCUCCAGAUCAGAGCGGGUAUUAGCCAGGCUGUUGGUGCGCAGAUGCGGCAGCCACACAGGAAAAUCCACAGAGCGCAAAACGAGCGCACCCCAAAGAGGUUUGUUCCCGCCCAGUCCCACAAGUCUUUCUAUUGGCUGAGCGGUUGCUAGGAGAUUGUACUUCUAAGUUUUGAGCGAGAGCAGACAAGACCCGUGAGAGCAGGGGACAGACUUGUGGGAGGAGUUUUGAUCCGUGUAGAGAAAAAGUUGUCACAUGAGAAGACAAUACCAGUGUAAGAAGGUUAAAUCUGAGCGCAAAAACAAAGAUUUGAAGGAGAACAGAGUGAAUUUGAAAGAGAGCAGACAUUUUGAGCGCAAGCA